AACACGUAGGAAUGUACCCCAAAGUGAGGGAUAAGCACCGGAAACGGUGUCUAAUACCGCAUAUGGUCUUCGGAUUAAAGCUUCGGCGCUUUGGGAACAGCCUGCGGCCGAUUAGAUAGUUGGUGAGGUAAUGGCUCACCAAGUCGACGAUCGGUAGCUGGUCUGAGAGGAUGAUCAGCCAGACUGGAACUGAGACACGGUCCAGACUCCUACGGGAGGCAGCAGUGAGGAAUCUUCCACAAUGGGCGAAAGCCUGAUGGAGCAAUGCCGCGUGCAGGAUGAAGGCCCUCGGGUCGUAAACUGCUUUUAUUAGUGAUGAUUAUGACGGUAACUAAUGAAUAAGGGUCUGCUAACUACGUGCCAGCAGCCGCGGUCAUACGUGGGACCCAAGCGUUAUCCGGAUUGACUGGGCGUAAAGCGUUGCGUAGGCGGUUUUUCAAGCGAAUAGUGAAAGCGUGAGGCUCAACCUCAUACACAUUAUUCGAACUGAAAAACUAGAGAACAGUAGAGGUACCUGGAAUUUCUAGAGUAGGGGUAAUAUCCGUAGAUACUAGAAGGAACACCGAUGGCGUAGGCAGGGUACUGGGCUGUUUCUGACGCUGAGGCACGAAAGCGUGGGGAGCGA
rnacentral:rRNA from 1 species